rnacentral:rRNA from 1 species
ACGGAGGGUGCAAGCGUUAUUCGGAAUUACUGGGCGUAAAGAGCGCGUAGGCGGAUAGGCAAGUCAGAUGUGAAAUCCCGGGGCUUAACCCUGGAACUGCAUUUGAAACUACUUGACUUGAGUAUGGGAGAGGGGGGUGGAAUUCCCGGUGUAGAGGUGAAAUGCGUAGAUAUGGGGAGGAACACCGAUGGCGAAGGCAGCCCCCUGGGCUAAUACUGACGCUGAGGCGCGAAAGCGUGGGUAGCAAACAG